rnacentral:rRNA from 1 species
GGGAUUGCCCCAGUAACGGCGAGUGAAGCGGCAACAGCUCAAAUUUGAAAUCUGGCCCCCCCCGGGGGGCCCGAGUUGUAAUUUGCAGAGGAUGCUUUGGGCGAGGCGCCUUCCGAGUUCCCUGGAACGGGACGCCACAGAGGGUGAGAGCCCCGUCUGGUCGGACGCCGAGCCUCUGUAAAGCUCCUUCGACGAGUCGAGUAGUUUGGGAAUGCUGCUCAAAAUGGGAGGUAUAUGUCUUCUAAAGCUAAAUACCGGCCAGAGACCGAUAGCGCACAAGUAGAGUGAUCGAAAGAUGAAAAGCACCUUGAAAAGGGGGUUAAACAGUACGUGAAAUUGUUGAAAGGGAAGCGCUCGUGACCAGACUUGGGGCGGGCGGAUCAGCCGGCGUUCUCGCCGGCGCACUCCGCCCGUCCCAGGCCAGCAUCAGUUCGCGCCGGGGGACAAAGGCGGCGGGAACGUGGCUCCCCAGGGAGUGUUAUAGCCCGCCGCGCCAUGCCCCGGGGGCGGACUGAGGGCCGCGCAUCACUGCAAGGAUGCUGGCGUAAUGGUCACCAGCGACCCGUCUUGAAACACGGGCCAAGGAGUCGUCCUCGUAUGCGAGUGUUCGGGUGUCAAACCCCUACGCGGAAUGAAAGUGAACGUGGGUGAGAGCUUCGGCGCAUCAUCGACCGAUCCUGAUGUUCUCGGAUGGAUUUGAGUAGGAGCAUACGGGGCCGGACCCGAAAGAAGGUGAACUAUGCCUGUGUAGGGUGAAGCCAGAGGAAACUCUGGUGGAGGCUCGCAGCGGUUCUGACGUGCAAAUCGAUCGUCAAACAUGGGCAUGGGGGCGAAAGACUAUC